AGCGGUAGGCGGACAUUUAAGUCAGGGGUGAAAUCCCGGGGCUCAACCUCGGAAUUGCCUUUGAUACUGGGUGUCUUGAGUAUGAGAGAGGUGUGUGGAACUCCGGAGUGUAGAGGUGAAAUUCGUAGAUAUUCGGAAGAACACCAGUGGCGAAGGCGACACACUGGCUCAUUACUGACGCUGAGGCUCGAAAGCGUGGGGAGCAAACA
rnacentral:rRNA from 1 species